AUACGUAGGUGGCAAGCGUUAUCCGGAUUUACUGGGUGUAAAGGGCGCGUAGGCGGGGGUGCAAGUCAGAUGUGAAAUCUAUGGGCUUAACUCAUAAACUGCAUUUGAAACUGUAUCUCUUGAGUGCUGGAGAGGUAGACGGAAUUCCUUGUGUAGCGGUGAAAUGCGUAGAUAUAAGGAAGAACACCAGUGGCGAAGGCGGUCUACUGGACAGUAACUGACGCUGAUGCGCGAAAGUGUGGGGAGCAAACAGGAUUAGAUACCCUGGUAGUCCACACUGUAAACGAUGAAUGCUAGGUGUAAGAGGUAUCGACCCCUUUUGUGCCGGAGUCAACACAAUAAGCAUUCCGCCUGGGGAGUACGGCCGCAAGGUUGAAACUCAAAGGAAUUGACGGGG
rnacentral:rRNA from 1 species